rnacentral:rRNA from 1 species
AUUGAACGCUGGCGGCAUGCCUUACACAUGCAAGUCGAACGGUAACGGGCCUUCGGGUGCCGACGAGUGGCGAACGGGUGAGUAAUACAUCGGAACGUGCCCGAUCGUGGGGGAUAACGAGGCGAAAGCUUUGCUAAUACCGCAUACGAUCUACGGAUGAAAGCCGGGGACCGCAAGGCCUUGCGCGGACGGAGCGGCCGGCGGCUGAUUAGGUAGAUGGUGGGGUAAAAGCUUACCAAGGCGACGACGGGUAGCCGGUCUGAGAGGGUGACCAGCACCAUGAGGACUGAGAUACGGCCCAGACUGCUACGGGAGGCAGGGGGGGGGAAUAUUGCACAGUGGGCGGAAGCAUGAUGUAGAAACGCCGCGUGCGGGAUGAGGGCCUGCGGGUAGUAAACCGCUUUCGCCUGUGACGAAGCGUGAGUGACGGUAAUGUGUAAAGAAGCACCGGCUAACUACGUG